GGGGAGGCCGGAUCCUGGGCUGUGUCCCGGCGCCCUGUGCUCCGGAGCCUGCGCUGUUGGAUUCGCGCUCCCGCCCCACAGCCCCCU
rnacentral:pre_miRNA from 1 species